UAUUUAAAUAGUUUAAUAUAAAUAUUAGUUUGUGGUACUGAAGUUAUGAUUUUUUCAUUUUAGAUA
rnacentral:tRNA from 1 species